UACGUAGGGUGCAAGCGUUAAUCGGAAUUACUGGGCGUAAAGCGUGCGCAGGCGGUUAUGCAAGACAGAUGGGAAAUCCCCGGGCUCAACCUGGGAACUGCAUUUGUGACUGCAUGGCUAGAGUACGGUAGAGGGGGAUGGAAUUCCGCGUGUAGCAGUGAAAUGCGUAGAUAUGCGGAGGAACACCGAUGGCGAAGGCAAUCCCCUGGGCCUGUACUGACGCUGAGGCGCGAAAGCGUGGGGAGCAAACAGG
rnacentral:rRNA from 1 species